UUUUUUUCUUCAAAAUCGUGAUAAUUUACAUUCGUUUUAGUACGAUUCAUUAGCUAUACAAGUUAGAGUUGUUUAGUUUCUUAGUUUCUUAACGUUUAGUGUUUGUAGCAUUAGCCAGCCCUAAUUAACUUUUGUGUUGACGUUAGCUGUCAGUAGCUGACAAAGCAUAAGUUGUUAGCGCAUAGUUAUCUUUAUUUAAAACAUUUUGUGAUUUUUAUAGUGACAAACAGUUGUUAAGAUGGUGUUGUUACACGACAUUUUCUUUUAUCUUUCCAGCAAAGAGAAGUACAAGCAAGGGGUCACUGAGUCUUCCAAGAGAGCAAUCAGGGAAGCAGCCAAAAACUUCUCUCUUCAAGGUGACAUCAUGUUAGAGGGACUGAUGGACAUUCCAUGAGGAGGGUUGUUUUCUCUGAGGAAGAGAAGGUUACCAUCCUCGAGGAGGUCCAUGCUGGUCAUUUCGGCAGGGACAGGAUGAUGGAGAUCAGGCAGAGGUUUUAUUGGCACAACAUCACAGCUGAUGUCGACAGUUGGGUCAGCACCUGCGAACCAUGCCAGACGUUCGAGAGGGUGAAGACAGAGCCACCAGAGAUGAAGCCAAUUAAACCUGUGGCACCUUGGCACAUGAUCGGUGUUGACCUCAUCGGUCCAUUGAAGAAGUCGCGGAAAGCAGGUAACCGAUACCUACUAACAGCCACUGAUUUUUUUUACCAAAUGGGUGGAGACUAGACCCAUUAAGGCGAAAAAAGCAGUGCUGACAUCUGAGGCAAUGAUGGACAUCUUCCUCACACAUGGCUCUCCUGAGGUCAUCUUAACGGACCGAGGUUGUGAAUUUUGGAACAGGGUUAAUCAGAAGAUGUUUGAAAAAUGUGGGGUGAAACACCGAAUGUCAUCAGCAUACAACCCCCAGACAAAUGGUUUGGAUGAACGCACAAAUCAGACCCUAAAAAAAGCAAUUGGGAAAACCCUAAAGGGGUAUCAAGAAAGUUGGGAGGACAAGCUAAAGGAGAUUGUGUUUGCACAUAACUCCUCUUUUCAGGCAUCCUCCAAGUACUCUCCUUUUCGGCUAAUGCAUGGCCGAGAGCCACGACUCUUCUGUGAGGUAUAAUGCUAGGCUGUUGCAAUCAACAUAACCAAAAUAACACCGAAAAGGAACACGUCUUCAAUGUUGGUUUGGCUACUUAGCCUAUGCCAGACUGUUGCAUACAGCUUCAGAGCUGGACAUAUCCAGAGCUACUGACCUUCACAGGUACAAGGUAAAGGUAGGCUAUUUAAACGUUAGUCCGAGAAACAAACACGUUUAUUUUUUUUUAGUUUAUUUAGUUUAAACGGAGGACUUGACGGUCACGUUGUACAAUAGCCUAGGCUACUAUAGGCCUAUGUUUGCGUUAAUGUAGCCUACUAUAGAAAACGCAUAGGCCAUCACUGCAUUUGUUGUCCAUCCGACUGCAAUUCAAUGUAUUUCAGUAUGUUUUCUCAUUCAAAUGUCUUAAUCAUAGACUGUAAAAAAUAAGGUAGGCUAUUGUUACGUCUUCCAGAACUGCUCCCCCUGCUUUAUAUUCACGAGCGCACACCAUAUCAGACAGCUGAUUAGAACGGUAUUGUUGCGUCAUCCGGAACUUUUUCCCUGGCCGGAACAAAUUCACUGUGACACAACCACACUGUCCAGUUCUAUAUAUACAGUCUAUGACUGAGACAGCCUGAGACAAUGGCUGCAGGUGGCCUGAACACCUGGCA